CUGGUGUCAGCCGCCGCGGUAAUACCAGCACCCCGAGUGGUCGGGACGAUUAUUGGGCCUAAAGCAUCCGUAGCCGGUACUGCAAGUCUUCCGUUAAAUCCACCUGCUCAACAGUUGGGCUGCGGGGGAUACUACAGCGCUAGGAGGCGGGAGAGGCAAGCGGUACUUAAUGGGUAGGGGUAAAAUCCACUGAUCCAUUGAAGACCACCAGUGGCGAAGGCGGCUUGCCAGAACGCGCUCGACGGUGAGGGAUGAAAGCUGGGGGAGCAAACCGGGUUAGAUACCCGGGUAGUCCCAGCUGUAAACGAUGCAGACUCGGUGAUGGGCUGGCCUUGUGCCAACCCAGUGCCGCAGGGAAGCCGUUAAGUCUGCCGCCUGGGGAGUACGGUCGCAGACUGAAACUUAAAG
rnacentral:rRNA from 2 species